UCGGGAAUUUUGGGCAAUGGGCGCAAGCCUGACCCAGCAACGCCGCGUGAAGGAUGAAGUUUUUCGGAAUGUAAACUUCGUAAGAAUAGGAAGAAUAAAUGACGGUACUAUUUGUAAGGUCCGGCUAACUACGUGCCAGCAGCCGCGGUAAUACGUAGGGACCAAGCGUUGUUCGGAUUUACUGGGCGUAAAGGGCGCGUAGGCGGCGUGACAAGUCACUUGUGAAAUCUCUGAGCUUAACUCAGAACGGCCAAGUGAUACUGUUGUGCUAGAGUGCAGAAGGGGCAAUCGGAAUUCUUGGUGUAGCGGUGAAAUGCGUAGAUAUCAAGAGGAACACCUGGGGUGAAGACGGGUUGCUGGGCUGACACUGACGCUGAGGCGCGAAAGCUAGGGUAGCAAACGGGAUUAGAUACCCCGGUAGUCCUAGCCCUAAACGAUGUAUGCUUGGUGUCUGGAGUAUUAAUUCUCCGGGUGCCGUCGCUAACGCUUUUAGCAUACCGCCUGGGGAGUACGCUCGCAAGA
rnacentral:rRNA from 1 species